UACGGGGGGGGCAAGCGUUGUUCGGAAUUACUGGGCGUAAAGGGCUCGUAGGCGGCCAACUAAGUCAGACGUGAAAUCCCCAGGCUCAACCUGGGAACUGCGUCUGAUACUGGAUGGCUUGAAUCCGGGAGAGGGAUGCAGAAUUCCAGGUGUAGCGGUGAAAUGCGUAGAUAUCUGGAGGAAUACCGGUGGCGAAGGCGGCUCUCUGGGCCUUACCUGGACGCUGAGGAGCGAAAGCGUGGGGAGCGAACAGG
rnacentral:rRNA from 1 species